GGGCCCGCACAAGCGGUGGAGCAUGUGGUUUAAUUCGAUGCAACGCGAAGAACCUUACCAGGCCUUGACAUCCCCGGAACUUUCUAGAGAUAGAUUGGUGCCUUCGGGAACCGGGUGACAGGUGCUGCAUGGCUGUCGUCAGCUCGUGUCGUGAGAUGUUCGGUUAAGUCCGGCAACGAGCGCAACCCACAUCCCUAGUUGCCAGCAGUUCGGCUGGGCACUCUAUGGAAACUGCCCGUGAUAAGCGGGAGGAAGGUGUGGAUGACGUCAAGUCCUCAUGGCCCUUACGGGUUGGGCUACACACGUGCUACAAUGGUAGUACAGAGGGCAGCGAGACCGCGAGGUUAAGCGAAUCCCAGAAAGCUGUUCGUAGUCCGGAUU
rnacentral:rRNA from 1 species